rnacentral:lncRNA from 1 species
AGUCGUAUGUGGCCCACAUGGUCGCUGCUUCAUUGGCGAUUGUUACAUCGAUGUCGCUGUGGCGGUUGUUGCGGUUAUCGAAUGAAAACACCCGACUGGCUUCGUUGAGCACGCCGGCUCGGUUCUCGGUAAUCCACUCAGACAGCAGCUCGCCCCGUGCAUAUUUAGCUUGUCCCCGAGCAUGCUCGGAGAGUUUGCGAAUUCACGCUGGGGAUACUGCGUUCGCGUCGAGCCCAAAGAUGACAGGCGUGCGGCUGGCCAGCAGCAGCACCGCAUCGAGAUACCUGAGGUACGGGCCCAAGUCGGUGUUGAAUUUGCAGUUCACGGAGCAUAGGAUAAUUGAUCCAAAUCUUCCUUGCACUCUAACGCAUACUCCUGUUCAGGGGUAAGGGGUUCUAUUGGCAUGCAUCCGGUUCGUCGACGAUGAUGGCAGCUUUCGGUUUAUCCUCAUGAAGGAAUACUUGCAUUCCCGAAGGAAGGCCAGUAUCCGCCCCGCUCCAUCGACGUACGGGUCCUGGACCAGAGCAAACAGAUGACCAGAGCUGCGCAUGAUGGAUCCAAGUUCCACCACAGCUGCUCGGCCACGGCCACAAUUUGCUUCGAUGAAGCUAGACAUUCUGGUGUCCGGGCGCUUCUUCACGUCCAGACCUGCUUCCUGGAACUUGGCGCUGUCAACUACCUUCCUGAGCUCGCUCACGGAAGGCGUGCGAAUGAUCGCACCUCCACUCUUCAGUUCGCGAACUUCGUGAACUCGGACUCCAAGUUUGGGCACCACGUCCUUGUUGACACGCUCGACCAACCACUUCCCAGUCUCCUCCGAGUUCCUGCUCUUGAUAAGAGCCGACCAGGUUUCGCGGGGCUUGGCAAUCGGCGCGACAGCAGCGCUCGGUGCUGGCAGGCCUGGGAAGGCUGCCGCAUACUCAGCGGUGGGAGAAACGGUAGUGUGGGCGGCAGCGGCAGCGGGCCUCUGUGGAGGCGGCAUUCGUGCCCUCUCCUCCAGGCGCACCUUGUCCCUAGCUAGCGCCAUGACGAGCUCGUCGUACCCGUUGGUAGCGACAAGAACUCCCAUGGAGGCUUCGGCGGACAUGCCUCCCUUGAGGACUGCCUUGUUCACCGACAUCCGUAUAGCCGAUAACUCGGCAGUGACAGCUGAAUACCCAGCCGCGACAAUAGUCGUUGCAGGGCAUGUGGCUGCGGCGGCAGCAGUAAAGGUGGCAGCGGCAGCAGUAGCGGUGGCAGCGGUAGUGCCAGCAGUGGUGGCAGCAGUGGCGUUGUUGUUAAAAGUCCCAAAAGAGAGCGACGACGGCGGCGAUCUGCCCGCUGGAAUCGGCGACUCUCCAGUCAUCCGAUCUUUUACUUUACCGUACCUCUUGACUGCGACUAUAUAAAUAG